CCUUCGUAUACAGGGGCCAUCGGUGCAAAGAUUUCUGUUAUUCAUGGCAAAAAAUAAAGCGAUUUAUCUGUUCAAAACUCAAUAAAAAUCUGCCAUCUUGAACCACUGAGAGAGUCGCCACGGUCUCCUGCAUCACUAGCCCAGUUCAAUAAUGAGAAAAAUGAUCAUAACUCAUAUCCAAGGUUUUUAAUCAGAGGCCAUUGAAAGCCAAACAGCAGCGGGGGUGUCCUUCAACGGAUUCCUGUCUAUCACCUAUUUGUCGGAGGCUCAAACGAUGAGCCGAAUGACAGGUUUACUUCAGCUAUUGUACGACAUGUCUGUAGAGUCUGCAAAAGUUGCAAUGGUCAGUUGGUGGCGGUAAUGGUCCGUAUUGUUGGUUUGUCGACCUAUAAUACACACCAUAAACGAAGAAGAAGUAGUCCCCCUGCGUUUACAACAUGGAUUAAUAUGUCUCUGAAUUCAGGGUCAACAACAACAGUUACCAUCAUUUAUCAAUAACGCGGAGCCCCCCGUCCAAGGGGUUCUGAAGAUCAUACACGUCUCCAUGGACUGGCUUGUGGGUCUUCCAGAUGCAUUCCACAUGGCAACCAGUGGUCUGAAUAUCACCAUCGUCCUCUUCCUGCUCUUCCUGGGUCUUCUCUACAGGUGGUACUUCUUGGUUUCACACCCGUCUGCUGGGCCCUGCUGAACGCCUGGUGAACCCUGGCUUGAUGGAGGCACAGAGCAGUGGACUCACUGGAUGACUGAUGACUCCUCCUCCACAACCCCAGACGUGGAAUUUUAUUUUCAAGCGACAAUUUCACAAUAACAGAAAAACUAACCUGAUAAUUGAAAAUAAAUGUAUUCUAAAUUUGUCAUUAUAGUAUUAUGGCUUUUUAUUUCAAAAUGGUUUGGAGUUUAUUUCAAGAUCUCUAGCGUCUAUGGCUAAUCAAAGCAUUCUUUGCUGAGCUACUGCAUGUGUAUCUAUGUGUAUAUAUAUAUAUAUUAUUU
ensembl:lncRNA